GUGGAGGGGCCAUUCGAAACUGCUGUGACUUGAGUCCGGUAGGGGAGUGUGGAAUUCCCGGUGUAGCGGUGAAAUGCGCAGAUAUCGGGAGGAACACCAGUAGCGAAGGCGGCACUCUGGGCCGGUACUGACACUGAGGAGCGAAAGCGUGGGGAGCGAACAGGAUUAGAUACCCUGGUAGUCCACGCCGUAAACGUUGGGCACUAGGUGUGGGACUCUAUCGACGGGUUCCGUGCCGUAGCUAACGCAUUAAGUGCCCCGCCUGGGGAGUACGGCCGCAAGGCUAAAACUCAAAGGAAUUGACGGGGGCCCGCACAAGCGGCGGAGCGUGUGGCUUAAUUCGAUGCAACGCGAAGAACCUUACCUGGGCUUGACAUGUACGGUAAAGCGGGUGAAAGCCCGUGUGCUU
rnacentral:rRNA from 1 species